AGUUUUAUUACAGAAGUCACUAUGAAGGAAGCCACCACAGCUCAGCACAAAGAACAUGCCCAGGCGGUCUCAUUUUGCUCUGGAUGCUGCACACCUCCAUGCCUCUCCUGGCUGAGCUCUACACCAGACCAGACCACCCCAGGGCACCGUGGCUGAUGCAAUCAUGCAAAUGAUGCAAAAAAAACCUCACCCAAGAACGAACUACUCAUCUCCAUCGGUAAGUCAGUCUCUGACAGGCGACUUCCUCCUCCUGGGGGGAAAAAAGAUCAGGCACAGCAAGGUAUGUGGGCUUUUGAGCCCGUCUGCAGAGAGAGACCUGCCAUGCACCAGCACGUGCUGACACCCUCACAGGCAGCCCUCAGGCACCUGGACAAGCCUGGGGCUGGUCUCUUUCACACCUGCUCUGCAGGUGCCUUGUCAAGAGUUCUGGUCUGCAGCCGUCCUCCUGAAGUGCAGUGCACUGCAUCUUGUACUUCCACUGCACUCUGUUUUGUAUUUUCCUACCCUUCUGCACAUCUUUCAGUGCAACUUCAGGCUUCACCAAAGAGGAAUCUCUAGUGAACCACCUGCAAUUCUGAUUCUUGCAAUUUAUGGAUCUUUUCUUCCACAGAUAUGGGAAACUUUCUUGUAUGCCUUCUAAAAUAGCAUAACCACAGGGAACAGGCAUUGUAUGUGGGUGUCAUCAGAUCCCCAGAUCAGUAUCUCCACAAAAUAGUAACUCCUUCAAAGUGUAUUCCCAAGUCCACAGAACUCUCAUGCUCACGUUGCUGGAGUUUUUUACCAAGACUAUAUGUAAAAUCUCCAGCUGCUCAUGAACUAAGGGAGGGAGUCAUCUUGACACCACAGACAGAGAGAAGCUCGACCUGCAGGUGAAGCACAGCGUUUUGCAGCACUUACGAUUAUAAAAGCAUUUAAACUGCCGCAAAGCACACUCGACGUACUUUAAGUUUUGUCCCUGAAGUUAUGGACGUGGAUUCUAAAGCUGGGGGAGGAGGUGCCAGUAAAACAUCUUCAAGCACAACCAAAACUC